rnacentral:rRNA from 1 species
UACGUAGGGGGGCUAGCGUUGUCCGGAAUCAUUGGGCGUAAAGCGCGUGUAGGCGGUCCGGUAAGUCCGCUGUGAAAGUCGGGGGCUCAACCCUCGAAUGCCGGUGGAUACUGUCGGGCUAGAGUACGGAAGAGGCGAGUGGAAUUCCUGGUGUAGCGGUGAAAUGCGCAGAUAUCAGGAGGAACACCAAUUGCGAAGGCAGCUCGCUGGGACGUUACUGACGCUGAGAAGCGAAAGCAUGGGGAGCGAACAGG